rnacentral:rRNA from 1 species
UGAGGAAUAUUGGUCAAUGGGCGAGAGCCUGAACCAGCCAAGUCGCGUGCAGGAUGACGGCCCUAUGGGUUGUAAACUGCUUUUAUAUGGGAAUAAAGUGAGGGACGUGUCCCUUAUUGCAUGUACCAUACGAAUAAGGACCGGCUAAUUCCGUUCCAGCAGCCGCGGUAAUACGGAAGGUCCAGGCGUUAUCCGGAUUUAUUGGGUUUAAAGGGAGCGUAGGCUGUUUGUUAAGCGUGUUGUGAAAUGUAAGAGCUCAACUUUUAGAUUGCAGCGCGAACUGGCAGACUUGAGUGCGCACAACGUAGGCGGAAUUCAUGGUGUAGCGGUGAAAUGCUUAGAUAUCAUGACGAACUCCGAUUGCGAAGGCAGCUUACGGGAGCGCAACUGACGCUAAAGCUCGAAGGUGCGGGUAUCGAACAGG